UGUGCCAAGCUAUUAUACUGUACUUGUGCAAUAAUGACAGCGUCAUUAGUUUCUCCGCCGCCCUCUCAAUGUUUACAGUGGCUAUGAGAGACGGCAGGUGAAACAUAGACAGCACAUGUAGAUGACAGCUGUAUCAGUCCUCUCCCUGCUAGCCCAAUGUUUACAGCUGCUAUGAUAGGCGGUAGCGGGAGGGACUUCCACAGCGCAGUUCGGUCCCCAGUCCCCCGGCUGGAUGCCGCCGCCGCUCUCCCCGCUGAUUCCCCUCUUCUCCAUCCUCACCCAUGUGGCCGCCCCCUCCGCGUUUUCCGCUCCCCCCCUGGCCGCAUCCUGUGACUCCAUGCUGGCAGCGUUGUGGCCUCAUGUGGAUUGGACUAUACCCCCCAGCCUGACUCCACUGCUGCUGGCAGUGUUCAUGGUGAUGGAGGAUAUGGCUGUUUCUCUUGGCUUCUAACUCCAUUGUCCCGACCUGAUACCCCUGCUGAACACAAUUACAAUCAUGCACGUCCAUCAAAAGAAGUAUGGAGCAGCAGAAGUGGCACUUCUGUAAGACAUCACCACAAAAAACCUGUGGCCGAAAAGAAAGCAAGGUCGUAUGUCCCGGCCCAAACACAGCAGGCUACCCCGCCACGAAGAUUAUCGUCCGUAUGUUCUGUCCCCCCACUUCAAAUUUUGGACACACCUCCAAGACGUCAUCCACACUCCCCUCAUCUUGAUUCUUCUAGUCCUGGGAACAGCAUCCCUCUGCAACAACAGCAACACAGUGACAUGGAGGAGACAAACAUCUUAGAAAUGCAGCCAAGGAAUGAGCCCCCCAGCACCUGUGAGUACACCACCACAGCAAAGCACAACAACACCAGGAACACAAGGCCCUGAUCAGGUGUUUUGGUCCAUUUGGGCUAGACAGCAGGCCACUAAUGAAGAUUGCCUGCGUAAGCAGACACAAAUGUUUGCAAGCCUACCAUCUCACCUCAGAAGAAUAUCAAGAAAUCUGAGUAGACAAAAUGAACAAACAACCAGAAUAGGCAAUACCAUGGAACUCAUGCAUACAGACAUUACACAGAUCAUGGGCAACUUACAGUGCAUAAUGGAAGAACAGCACAGACAACAGCAAAGUUAUAUGAGCAUUUUUCAAAACAAUCAAAAGAUUAAUGAAAGUUUAUUCCGAAUAGUAGACAAUCAAAAUGCUGCUACACGUGAACUCAAUGCCACCCUCACUAACCUGAAUGAAACACUCAGAUGCAUGCACCAACAGCAAACAAGCAGCAGUUCUGGUACGACUACUCCAAAUAUCAUGCCAGUCUCAUCACCACCAAGACGCUCCACCAGAGCACGACAACAUGACAGUGCUAAAGGCAAAGGGCAGGACAAGCAUCCACCAAAAAAAAACAUGAAAAAAAUACAAGUUAGACAUUUGUGAUAAGUAACUCAAAAUAGUUAGUAAGUGUAUUUUUGGCAAAAAAUAUAUAACACUUAGCUCCUUGACAAUUUUUUCAACAUCAUUAAUUAUAAGUGGUACAAACAACAACAUAAAAUUUGUACGCACAUUUAUUCUUUACCAUUUUUUUUUGUAUUGGAGGAGGGAAAUGUUGAUGGAGCCACACAUACAUGUUAGCAGGAAGUAAACUGACCACUUAAUUUUUUUCUAAUCAUUACUCUUUCUAGAUUCCAAUCAUUCUCUUUUUCUGCAGACACAAUAAUUGCCAGCCAGGCAGAAUGUCUUUAGCAGGAAGUAAACUGACCACUUGAUUUUUUUCUAAUCAUUACUCUUUCUAGAUUCCAAUCAUUCUCUUUUCCUGCAGACAAUCCAAAUUACAAUGUUAUUUAUACAUAUUUUAGCUAUCUUCUCUAUACAACAUUACAAGAAGAACACAAUUGAGUUGCGUAAAAAGCUUGUAAUAUGUUGGCUUUGUUUUGUUUUUAAAACAUUGACAAAAUGAAUGUCAGUAUUGUUGGGACAUGUUUGUGUGUGUUAAAAAUUAGUAAGAAUGUUUUUACACAUGAUGCUAAAACAAACAAAUAUGUACUUUUACAACAAAAAUCAAAGAAUGUGUAUAAUAAUGUAUAUGUGUGGCAAACUGUGUAUUUACUUACACAUAAUCAAGUUU